GACGAACGCUGGCGGCGUGCCUAAUACAUGCAAGUAGAACGCACAGUUUAUACCGUAGCUUGCUACACCAUAGACUGUGAGUUGCGAACGGGUGAGUAACGCGUAGGUAACCUGCCUGGUAGCGGGGGAUAACUAUUGGAAACGAUAGCUAAUACCGCAUAAUAUUAAUUAUUGCAUGAUAAUUGAUUGAAAGGUGCAAAUGCAUCACUACCAGAUGGACCUGCGUUGUAUUAGCCAGUAGGUGAGGUAACGGCUCACCUAGGCGACGAUACAUAGCCGACCUGAGAGGGUGAUCGGCCACACUGGGACUGAGACACGGCCCAGACUCCUACGGGAGGCAGCAGUAGGGAAUCUUCGGCAAUGGACGAAAGUCUGACCGAGCAACGCCGCGUGAGUGAAGAAGGUUUUCGGAUCGUAAAGCUCUGUUGUAAGAGAAGAACGGGUGUGAGAGUGGAAAGUUCACACUGUGACGGUAUCUUACCAGAAAGGGACGGCUAACUACGUGCCAGCAGCCGCGGUAAUACGUAGGUCCCGAGCGUUGUCCGGAUUUAUUGGGCGUAAAGCGAGCGCAGGCGGUUAGAUAAGUCUGAAGUUAAAGGCUGUGGCUUAACCAUAGUACGCUUUGGAAACUGUUUAACUUGAGUGCAGAAGGGGAGAGUGGAAUUCCAUGUGUAGCGGUGAAAUGCGUAGAUAUAUGGAGGAACACCGGUGGCGAAACGGCUCUCUGGUCUGUAACUGACGCUGAGGCUCGAAGCGUGUGGAUCCAACAGGAUUAUAUACCCUGGUAUUCAUUUGGCCAAUUUC
rnacentral:rRNA from 1 species